rnacentral:lncRNA from 1 species
AAAGCAAGUUAACCAGGACACCAUUGGUUGUGAGAGGACGUGGGAGGUUAAGAGAAUUACAAGUAGUUUCAUCUUCUACUCUAGAAGAUUAGCCCUGCACUAAUUACUGCCAAUCUUCCUCUUUUUGCUGAGGAAGAUUGGACCUGAGCUAACAUCCAUCCUAUCUUCCUCUACUUUAUUUGUGGGAUGCCUAUCACAGCAUGUCUUUGGCCAAGCUGUGCCAUGUCUGCACCUGGGAUCUGAACCAGCGAACCCCAGGCUGCCGAGAAGUGGAAUGUGGGAACUUAACUUCUGCGCCACAGGGCUGGCCCCCCUUAUUCAUCUUGAAGUCCUCCGGCUAUGCCUCCAACAAAAGUAGUGUGUGGCCAGGAACUCCAGGACAAUGUUGCCAGCAACUUGUAUUAGUUGACUUCCGUCCUGAUAUUAACAGUUAAGAUUCUAAUAUUUCACCAUUAAGCAUUUUGUUUGCCUACUUGGUUGAAAGACUGUGUCUGAAAAUUUUAUAAAAUAUCUAUGGAUAAUUGAAUUUUAUCAAAUGCUUUGUCUUUAUCCAUUCAGAAAAGCAUUUUUCUCCUCUAAUCUGCCUAUAUGGUAAACAUAGUUGUCUAUUUACUAGCAUUAAAUCACCCUUGAAUUCUUAUAAUAAAUGUAAUUAGGCAUUUGUUUCUCUUUAUUCCUCAUAUUGUUAUGUUUUUGAGGAAUUUUUCAUAUAAUUCAUGAAUAAAAUGAGCUUGUGAUUUUCCUACCUUGUAUGCUCCCUUUCUGAUUUUGAUUUCAGAGUUAUAUUAACCUUAUAUUAUGACUUGUGGUGCCCCCAAUUUUAAGUUUUCUGGAAGAGUUUAUGUAAGAUUGAAAUGGUGUGUUUCUUGAAUAGUUGGUAGAAUUUUCUGGUAAACCCAUCUGGUCCUGGUUUUCAAAUACUUUAAUGAAUACAGAAAAUACAGUGUUUCAGUGUUUCAAGUCAUUUGUAAUAACUUAUAUUUUUCUAGAAAUGUGUCCAUUCUUAUAACUUUCAUAUUUAUU